GGCUUGGUCAGCGGCUAAUUACUACUUUAUCAAUAUAUGACCAUAUACCUGGAAUUGACAACUUUGUUACUGAUCACUUAUCUUAUUCUCCAUUACUGGCUUUCCGCUGAGGGUCUACAGUUUAACCGAUAAUGGCUAGAUUUUUAUGUUGUAAUCAAGAUUCUUGAGUACAGUGGUCGAUUUUACUUCUUUUGCCACCUUUUACUUAAAUAUUUUAACACUACUAAUGAUAUUUUAAAUUCUGUCAGUAAUAAUUCUGGAUAACGACCUAACCUCUGUUCAAGGUUCCCCUGAUCU